rnacentral:rRNA from 1 species
GACGUAGGGCGCGAGCGUUGUCCGGAUUUAUUGGGCGUAAAGAGCUCGUAGGCGGCUUGUUGCGUCGGCCGUGAAAACCCGCGGCUUAACUGCGGGCUUGCGGUUGAUACGGGCGGGCUGGAGUUCGGUAGGGGAGACUGGAAUUCCUGGUGUAGCGGUGAAAUGCGCAGAUAUCAGGAGGAACACCGGUGGCGAAGGCGGUUCUCUGGGCCGAUACUGACGCUGAGGAGCGAAAGCGUGGGGAGCGAACAGG